CACGUAGGGUGCGAGCGUUGUCCGGAAUUAUUGGGCGUAAAGAGCUCGUAGGCGGUGUGUCGCGUCGGCCGUGAAAACCUGCAGCUUAACUGUGGGCUUGCGGUCGAUACGGGCAUCACUGGAGUUCGGCAGGGGAGACUGGAAUUCCUGGUGUAGCGGUGAAAUGCGCAGAUAUCAGGAGGAACACCGGUGGGCGAAGGC
rnacentral:rRNA from 1 species